AUGGAGUUUGCCACGGGGGCGUUGGGCACCCUACUCCCCAAGCUGGGGGAGCUGCUUCUUGAUGAGUACAACCUGCAGAAGGGAUUGAAGAAACGGAUCAAGGACCUGAUGGAUGAGCUGCUGGUCAUACAAGCUGCACUACUGAAGGUGUCCGAUGUGCCACUAGACCAGCUUGAUCCGCUGGUCAAAAUUUGGGCAAACGAUGUCAGGGAGUUGUCCUUUGCUAUCGAGGACAGCCUCGACUCCUUCAUGGUGCGUGUCGAGGGUCUUGAGCCGACAAAGCCACACACCUUCUUCGGGUUCAUCAAGAAGGCCUGCAAGAAGGUCACCAAGCUCAAGAUUCGUCGCGAAAUAGCCAAUGACAUCAAAGACGUCAAGAUCCAAGUUAAAGAGGUGAAGGAGCGGUUCGACAGAUACAAAGAUGUUAUCAGUGAUGCUAGUGUUGCAACAAAGGUUGAUCCCCGCCUCUUAACUCUGUACAACAAAGUAUCUAACCUUGUCGGCAUCGACGAGGCUGUCGAUGAGCUAACAAAGAGGUUGUACAAGAGCGAUGAUGUGGCCCAGCAAAACCUCAAGACUAUUUCUGUCGUUGGAUUUGGAGGACUGGGCAAGACAACUCUUGUUAAGGCAACAUAUGACAAUCUUAAGAAGGAAUUUGAUUGUGGGGGUUUUGUUAUAGUGGGUCGGAAUCCUGACAUGAAGAAAGUCCUUAGGGACAUCCUCCAUGAACUUGACAAGCAAAAGAACAUCACUGAAUCAAAGAUGGAUGAAAGACAACUCAUCGACCAGCUGCAAGAAUUCCUCGCAAACAAGAGGUACCUAAUUGUUAUUGAUGACAUUUGGGAUGUAUCAACAUGGGAAAUAAUUAAAUGUGCUCUGGUGGAUAGUAACUCCGGAAGUAGAGUAAUCACAACUACUCGUAUUCAUGAAGUUGCCAAAAAAGUUGGUGGUGUUUACAACAUAAAACCACUUUCUGAUGAUAACUCCAAAAAGCUAUUCCAUAGCAGAAUAUUUGGUGAUGAAGGCACAAGUCUUGAUGAUCACUCAGAUGAAAUUUCCGAUAAUUUCUUCAGAAAAUGUGGUGGUGUGCCAUUGGCCAUCAUUACGUUAGCUAGCUUGCUUGUUAGUAAGCCAAGGGAUGUCUGGUGUAAGGUGUUUGACUCAAUUGGUUUUGGUCAGGAAGACAAUGAAGCUAUUCAGAACACAAGACAAAUAUUGUCUUUUAGCUAUUAUGAUCUACCUUACCAUCUGAAGACUUGUUUGUUGCACUUAAGUGGAUAUCCAGAAGAUUUUUUUAUUCACAAAAAUAGGGUGAUAUGGAAGUGGGUAGCGGAAGGCUUUAUACCUAUGGAUCAAAAGAUCAGUGCAUUUGAGCUGGGACAGAGUUACUAUAAUGAUCUUAUAAAUAGGAGUAUGAUCCAGUCAGUAGAACCGGACAUUAUGGCCACGAUAGAUGGCUGUCGUGUUCAUGACAUUGUGCUUGAUCUCAUCCGCACCUUGUCAAGCGAAUUAAACUUUGUUACAACACAAGAUAAUGUGCAACUCAACCGAUGUUCGACCAGCACGAGUAGCAGUGCUCGUAGGUUAGCCAUCCAUAGUGGAUCCGUUGAGCAUAUGGAUAUGGGGCAUGUGAGGUCAUUUAAUGCUAUCAGUUUUGUUGAUCCUGUUCUGCCUCCACUUAUGAGUUUUAAAGUAUUACGGGUACUGGUGCUAGAGAAUUGUGAUUUUUCUGUAGGAGGUUGUCACCUUGAACAGCUGGGGAAGUUGGUUCAGCUGAGGUACCUAGGGCUGAUGGGAACACCUGUUACCGAGCUCCCACGUGACUUAGGGUAUCAACUCAAGUUCUUGCAGACACUGAAUAUGGAGGACACUGGCAUAAAAGAAUUACCGUCCUCUGUUGAUGAGCUAAGCAAGCUGAUGUGUCUGUGUGCUUCUAAAGGCACAAUUAUGAUGGGCAGGAUAGGGAAACUUACGUCCCUAGAAGAGCUGACGCUAUUCCAUGCGGACAAAUCUCUAGACUUCACAACCGGGCUGGGAGAGCUGACGCAAUUGAGGGUGCUCGGAAUCCGUUUCGACGAGAUGGAAGAGAGCACGUACAUGGCUCUGGUCAAGUCUAUCUACAACCUGCAGCGACUCCAGAGUCUCGAGAUAAGCAAUGAUGGAGUGGAUUUUGAAGUUUAUGGCUGGGAAGAGUGGGCUCCCCCUUCAGAGCUCCGUCUGUUCGCACUGCGUGGCAUGGAAAUACCCAGGCGUCCAUCUUGGAUGAAUUCCUCUUGUGUUCGGCACCUCUCCUACCUAUGGAUUGAAGUGCAAGAGUUGGAAGCACUGGACCUGCAAAUCAUAGGAAGGAUGUCUUCACUCCGCUUCCUCUAUCUAUCAAAUUCAGUGGUAGACUGGCUAUCAUAUACUGUUAGUAGCCAUGAGUUCCAGAACCUGACAUAUCUCAGGACAGACCUAGAGAUUGUGUGUGGAGAGGGAGCAUUGCCAAUGGUUGAGGACUUGAGAUGCUUUACUAGAGCGGGAAAUGACGUUGGCUUGGCUGGAAAUAUGCCUUUUCUCAAGGAAGCCUGCUACGACCUUAACUGUUGUGAUAGCAGUGGUAAGGAGGUGGAUGGAGCAGAGGCAGCGCUGAGGCAAGCCGCAGAAACCCAUCCCAACCGUCCCAAACUGAAGAUAUGCAGAUUCCUUGAAGAGUAUAUGUGUGAUGAUUCAGACGACGAGAAUGACAGCGGAUCCGAGGGAGUAUCCUCUGCAGAUGAAAAGGUAUAUGUAUGUACACUACAGCAUAUACUAAUAUCCCAUCUUAUCACUCACAUCCAAGACAUGUCACUUCCAGCAUAUUUUCCUCUAACUUAUCCUUGCCUGCUUUUUCCUAAUUAUAGUCUGACGAGGAUGAAGAUGGCGAAUCCAAGCAGGAACUUUCGGGUACCGACCAAGAGGUAUACAUACAGCUGGCAACUCACAUUAACUACUUGUCUACUACCUCUGCAUGGUUACAUACAUGUACUAUGCACCUCUCUCCGUACAUAG
rnacentral:rRNA from 1 species